GGAGGGCAAGUCUGGUGCCAGCAGCCGCGGUAAUUCCAGCUCCAAUAGCGUAUAUUAAAGUUGUUGUGGUUAAAAAGCUCGUAGUUGAACCUUGGGCCUGGCUGGCCGGUCCGCCUCACCGCGUGCACUGGUCCGGCCGGGCCUUUCCCUCUGUGGAACCCCAUGCCCUUCACUGGGCGUGGCGGGGAAGCAGGACUUUUACUUUGAAAAAAUUAGAGUGCUCCAGGCAGGCCUAUGCUCGAAUACAUUAGCAUGGAAUAAUAGAAUAGGACGCGCGGUUCUAUUUUGUUGGUUUCUAGGACCGCCGUAAUGAUUAAUAGGGACAGUCGGGGGCAUCAGUAUUCAAUUGUCAGAGGUGAAAUUCUUGGAUUUAUUGAAGACUAACUACUGCGAAAGCAUUUGCCAAGGAUGUUUUCAUUAAUCAGGAACGAAAGUUAGGGGAUCGAAGACGAUCAGAUACCGUCGUAGUCUUAACCAUAAACUAUGCCGACUAGGGAUCGGACGGCGUUAUUACUUGACCCGUUCGGCACCUUACGGGAAAC
rnacentral:rRNA from 1 species